rnacentral:rRNA from 2 species
GAUUUCUGGUAUGAUGCCCCUGAUCCGCGCCCUUUACGGGGUGUGUGUGUUGGUGUGGCGUCUGCCAUCUUUUGUGUAGAUGCUACGUUUUUGGGGGGCCUUUACUGGUUUUCCAUACGUGGGUUAUCAUCUACAUCUUUUACUUUGAAAAAAUUAGAGUGUUUAAAGCAGGCUUUUAGCCCUUGAAUACAUUAGCAUGGAAUAAUAAUAUAGGACUUCGGUUCUAUUUUGUUGGUUUCUAGUACUGAAGUAAUGAUUGAUAGGGAUAGUUGGGGGUGCUAGUAUUCAGCGGCCAGAGGUGAAAUUCUUGGAUUCGCUGAAGACUAACUUAUGCGAAAGCAUU